AUUCAUUUCUUCAAGUCAAGUUAGGUCGUUAAAAAAAAACAAUACGUUAGGAACAGAUAAAGAAGAAAGUACACACAUUUCUGUCACGCGAAAGGCUAAGUGAGCAAUGUUUGGAAACCUGAAACACAUGGCCAUCAGAAACAACCCGGCCCACGUCAUCUGAUGAGGUUACUGAAGGCAGCAGACAAGAUGACUGCUGAGUGGAGUGACGGGGGUCAGCCCUGGAGACUCCAGCCCCUUCUCCCCCAGUGCUGUCCGACCACGGUCGGUAAGCCGAAGCAGGAAAAGCGAACACAAGCUACUGCCACCAGUCUUUGCAUGUGGGCGUGAGCAGUGUUGUGUGUGCACGGACUUCCAAUCAGUGGAAGCUGCAGACGGCCCGUUACCCUACGCUUGGAGGCAGCCAUCUGUCAGCUGAUGCUCAGUCGCCACGGCAAUCAGAACGCUCUGCGGCAGGUCCAAUCUGUUCCACCACAGGUAGGGCUGGGGGGGUGCGGGGUCAUCAUUAUUCCUUCUCUCUAAUCCAUCCUUUUGUAACAUCGCUCAC